GGAGUUAGCCGGUGCUUCUUCUGCGAGUAACGUCACAGAUGUAAGGUAUUAACUUACACCCUUUCCUCCUCGCUGAAAGUGCUUUACAACCCGAAGGCCUUCUUCACACACGCGGCAUGGCUGCAUCAGGGUUUCCCCCAUUGUGCAAUAUUCCCCACUGCUGCCUCCCGUAGGAGUCUGGGCCGUGUCUCAGUCCCAGUGUGGCUGAUCAUCCUCUCAGACCAGCUAGGGAUCGUCGCCUAGGUGAGCCUUUACCUCACCUACUAGCUAAUCCCACCUGGGCUUAUCCAUCAGCGCAAGGCCCGAAGGUCCCCUGCUUUCCCCCGUAGGGCGUAUGCGGUAUUAGCAGUCGUUUCCAACUGUUAUCCCCACAAAUGGGCAAAUUCCCAGGCAUUACUCACCCGUCCGCCGCUCGUCAUCUUCAAAAGCAAGCUUUUGAAAUGUUACCGCUCGACUUGCAUGUGUUAGGCCUGCCGCCAGCGUUCAAUCUGAGCAGAANACAACACUGA
rnacentral:rRNA from 1 species